GGGGGCGAAACGGCUUCGACGGGGAUAAAGAAGCCCAGAUUGCAUGCCGAGUUCCCGCAAACUCGAAAAACAGGCGGGGAAUAAACAUAAUCGCAGAUGAUUAUAAUUACGCUUUAGCCGCUUAGGCUAACGUCCUUCCGGGUUGUCCUCCCGCGCCCCCGGAAAGGACGUCGAUUAGCGGGAUAGCCGACGCCUAUUUCCCGGCGCCGCGUCGGCGAAACCUUUACCGGGAUAGCUUUUCACAUAUCGCGCCUGAAGGAGCUGUGAAAGGCGAAAUAUAAAAUUCGGGCUAUGCAUGUAGACGUCUGUGUGGAAUAUUUCCGGACGCGGGUUCGACUCCCGCCGCCUCCACCA
rnacentral:tmRNA from 1 species